AAGGUGAUUGGUGCCUUCGUGCAUGGAGCAAGUGAGAGUUGUGAAGUAGGACAGUGUCUCUUGCUAACCGGUACUGUCUCGUGGAAGAGAGGUAAGAAGAGGAAAACAUGUCUUAACUGUUAAUUGGUGUAAGAGGAAAACACAGAGUGAUCUUAGGAAAGGUGGAAGAUAAAAUGCUAAGAAGGAGAAGAAGAGUAGCAGAAUGGACAUCUGUGAAAGAGAAAUGAAUGUGAAUUUGGAUGAUAUUUGCAUUUUGGUCGAUUGAUUCUGAAACUUGUGGUGGCUGUGUUUCUUCAAGAGCCUUUCCACCCACAAAACCACUCUGCCGCCAAGACAAAAGAGAGAAAAUAAAUAACACGCGAAGUAUAUCCAUACCGAUCUCAUCUAACGACCACUGCCUCUAAUAUCUUUUGGUUUUCUUCUUAUUUUCAGGAUAAAUAUAUGGUUCUGACUUCUGAUUGUGAUAUAAAAUUUAUCC